GCAUCGGUGGUUUAGUGGUAAAAUUAGCCGUUGCCAUUUCACUUCACAGUGACUGCACAGUUUCGGCUAGCCCCGGGUUCGAUUCCCGGCCGAUGCA